rnacentral:rRNA from 1 species
ACACAUGCAAGUCGAGGGGAAACGACAUCGAAAGCUUGCUUUUGAUGGGCGUCGACCGGCGCACGGGUGAGUAACGCGUAUCCAACCUGCCCACCACUUGGGGAUAACCUUGCGAAAGUAAGACUAAUACCCAAUGAUAUCUCUAGAAGACAUCUGAAAGAGAUUAAAGAUUUAUCGGUGAUGGAUGGGGAUGCGUCUGAUUAGCUUGUUGGCGGGGUAACGGCCCACCAAGGCGACGAUCAGUAGGGGUUCUGAGAGGAAGGUCCCCCACAUUGGAACUGAGACACGGUCCAAACUCCUACGGGAGGCAGCAGUGAGGAAUAUUGGUCAAUGGACGAGAGUCUGAACCAGCCAAGUAGCGUGCAGGAAGACGGCCCUAUGGGUUGUAAACUGCUUUUAUAAGGGAAUAAAGUGAGUCUCGUGAGACUUUUUGCAUGUACCUUAUGAAUAAGGACCGGCUAAUUCCGUGCCAGCAGCCGCGGUAAUACGGAAGGUCCGGGCGUUAUCCGGAUUUAUUGGGUUUAAAGGGAGCGUAGGCCGGAGAUUAAGCGUGUUGUGAAAUGUAGACGCUCAACGUCUGCACUGCAGCGCGAACUGGUCUUCUUGAGUACGCACAACGUGGGCGGAAUUCGUGGUGUAGCGGUGAAAUGCUUAGAUAUCACGAAGAACUCCGAUUGCGAAGGCAGCUCACGGGAGCGCAACUGACGCUGAA